GAAAGAAAGCUCCAGAAAACAUCUGUGGCUGCUGGCUUUCUCGUGCCUCCCAUUGUUGGGAGACCAUGGACGUCGGUGGAGGAGGGAAGUUCUGUCACCUGUUUGGAAGCCGAAGCUGGCAACUCUGACUGGCUUGUGACAGCUGCGAGAGACUCCAGCUUGGUACCGGAAGAGCGAGGAGAAGCAGCUUGUGUGGUGAGCGCAGAUGAUGGAGGUGACCCUGGAGGAGAGAGGUCUGUUCUUAGUGCUGUCAUGAUGAGAGGCCUUGUUUGGACCAGAGUCUCAGUGGGGUCCUUGGCAAGAUCCAGGGAGGCGCUAUGUCCACUUCCUUGGUAAGGGGAUGAAGAGAAGUCCACAUGUGCCCUGGUCCUACGGUGUGCCUUAGGCAGAGGUGUCUGGGAUAGCUUCAGCAAGGUUGUGUUGUCAGGAGGCUGUCCCAGCACAUUCUUGAAUCUGUCUGCUGCUGAGGAAGACUUGACUUCCAAGAAAGGCCAUGUUGGUGAAAUUGGUAACAAUUUCCCAAGGGGAAAGGACUCUGAGGUCGGAGUGACAUGUAUCUGUAGAUUGUCUGUCCCUGUGAAAGAAAGCAUCCACAUGAGAUGUGGGAUCAGGAUGCACUGCAAUGGGCAGGCGCUGGAGACAAGGAGCAAGCAAGACAGGCCCUUCCUGGCCACAGUCCUUCUGCUCAUCACAGAACCCUCAUGAAACAACUCAAACAAGGAACGAAGUAACAAGGAACAAACCUGGGCUUGCUUUCAUGUAAGAGGAGCCGUGGAUCACAAAGGGGACACCCUCUGCUGGAAGAGCACAAAAGCAGGUCGGUAUGAGGGGUCCUCCCUCCCAGGCCUAGGCUGCAUCUCCAGUUGCUUUUCUCAGGGACUGAAGUCUGCCAACCGAAAAAAGGAACAACUGGAGAAAGUCUUAUAAUAGGAAGGUUUGCGAAUGAAUACACAACAGCCUCUUCAUGACAAAAGCUGAGCUGUGAUUGUCUUCUGAGAUGUUUUUUCCAGUUUUCCCUUUUGCAGCUUGAAGAAGGAAGGGUGGACGGUGUCUUUCACCCUAAGUAAGAACACGUGGACAGCUUUCAUUUUGAUCCUCUGUGCUCUUGUGAUUUCCCUUUUCCUUUUUUAAAUAAAAUUUUAAAUUAUUUUAACUU
ensembl:antisense Gm13883 predicted gene 13883